rnacentral:lncRNA from 1 species
CGUACAUUUUUUUAGACACAAUGCUCUUGCGUAGUUAAUAGAAAGUUACACAAUACUACAGUAUUGUGUAAACAUAAUUUUUAUAUGCACUGGGAAAGGAAAAAAAUGACUAGCUUUAUUGUCACAAUCGCCUUAUUGCAGGGGUUUGGAACCAAACGGGCAGUACCUCUGAGGUAUGCCGUGUCUCACUGCAUUCACAGUAGGGGUUAUCUCUGCACAGCAAGGAGCGGCACAAAAACUUCAAAAGUCGGGUGACUUCCAACUGAACACAGCAGGGCUUCUGGCGAUCUGGAUUGUUGCUGAACUGAAGUUGGUAGAGCACUCUGGGUGGGUUAUUUGGAUACUGAUAACAUCCGUUUUUUGCAAGUCAGUGCUUGCUUAAGACCUUUGUUAUGAUCUUGAGAUAGAAGUAGUAAGACUCCAUGUGCUCUUUCGGUCUGUACGUUCCGGGCAUUUCUGUUUUGGGAAGCUUCCCUUCCUUUCUUCACAUUUAAUUCAUUCCUUAGUAAUUCAACAAAUCUUUAUUGAGUGUAUAUGUGUGCUGGACAGGGUAUGGAGUGCUUGAAAUGGACUUCAGCACGUCUGAGUUCCUGCCCUCAUGGAGUGGGUCUAGCAGAAGGCCUGAUCUUACCAGAAAAUCAAACAUUUAACUUGGAUCUGUGACAGAGUCUAUGGGGGAGAGUCCAGGGUGAGCACAUUUAGCAGGGGGUUUGGGAAAGGCUUCCCCUAAGGGAUGACCUGCAAGAUGACUGAAGACUAGGGGAAGGUGUGGGUUUGGGUCCAGGCAACCUGGGAGCAAGUCCAGGGCCAGCCGCUGGCAGUUUGAGGCGACUGGCAGAAAAUAUGCAGCUGACAUGGUAAGAACACACAAGGGGUUUGCAGAAGUGGGCAAGCCAGGAAAUGGGGGUCUCCGAGGCUGUGCUCAGGAUUUUGGACUUGACCUAUGAGCAAGGCGAGCUGCCCAGGGGCUUUAGCUGGAGGUGAACAUACCAGCUUUAUGUAUUUUUCAGUCACUUAGGCUGCCAUUUGGGGGGGGGAGGAUAGCAAAGGGAGUCCAUGAGGAGAGGGGAGUCAGGUGGUGUCCAGAGGUCGGUGAGACAGGGGGUAAAAACUUGAGAACCGUCACAGUAGAGGCGGCAGGUAAAGUUAGGACUGGAGGACAUACUGUUCACUAAAGAGGCGAUGUUAACCCCAACCCUAACCUGUUCUUAGUAGUACCAUUUGGUCUUUAAAAAAAAAACCAACAUAAUUAGCCUAGACGUUUCCCCAGAUAGUAUUUUUGACAAAGUAAGUGAAAAUUAAUAAAGGGAAAUUUCACUAAAAUGGAGUUGGGAGG